AGAUGGAAGUGGAGAUUUAUUGCUACAGAAGAUAAAAAGAGAGGAGAGGAGGAAGUUGGAGCAUGUUAUAAGAAGAAGAUGAAAUAAUUAAAAUAGUAAUUAAAGCCUGUUAGAUGUUGCAAAGCGUGAAAGCUGGACAUAAAACUGGAACCUGGAGUGAAACCUUGAGAGGCGCAGAGUGGCUGAAGCUUCAAGUCACCUGGAUGAACACUGAGGCCCCUGUGUUUUCCUCCCACCGUUUCCCUCCCUCGGAGUGCCCCUGUUCAUGGAAUAACUGUAUGCAUGCCGAAAGCCAGGCUGGGAGCCAUCUUCUUCAGUGAGUUAUCCUGUCUUUUCCAACCAGGUCACUGCUUCUUACCUUUGCUCUCUUUCACGGUCAAUGUGAGCAUUUUGCAGACUGGCCUCUUUUCACUGAGGGACCUAAAGAAGGUUCAUAAAGAUGUCCUUUUCAAAAGACCUAUUGGAGAGGGGCCUGCAAUUUGGCCUCUCAACACAAACCCAAAACUUUCUUCAUACCGUUAUCAAUACGGCUUAUCUUACAUGCAACAGGCCACUAACAGGAAGUGCUAAGUCGACAGUAAUAUGCCGCCGAGGGGGAGAGGAAUACUCAGAU
ensembl:lncRNA